rnacentral:rRNA from 1 species
UAUGGUAAUUGUGCCGCGGUAAUACGUAUGGAGCAAGCGUUAUCCGGAUUUACUGGGUGUAAAGGGUGCGUAGGUGGCAGUGCAAGUCAGAUGUGAAAGGCCGGGGCUCAACCCCGGAGCUGCAUUUGAAACUGCUCGGCUAGAGUACAGGAGAGGCAGGCGGAAUUCCUAGUGUAGCGGUGAAAUGCGUAGAUAUUAGGAGGAACACCAGUGGCGAAGGCGGCCUGCUGGACUGUUACUGACACUGAGGCACGAAAGCGUGGGGAGCAAACAGG